UCGCGGGGUGGAGCAGUUCGGUAGCUCGUCGGGCUCAUAACCCGAAGGUCGCAGGUUCAAAUCCUGUCCCCGCAAU
rnacentral:tRNA from 5 species